ACAGCAGCAGCCGCGGGAACACGGAGGAUCCAAGCGUUAUCCGGAAUCAUUGGGUUUAAAGGGUCCGUAGGCGGUCUUGUAAGUCAGUGGUGAAAGCCCAUCGCUCAACGGUGGAACGGCCAUUGAUACUGCAGGACUUGAAUUAUUGGGAAGUAACUAGAAUAUGUAGUGUAGCGGUGAAAUGCUUAGAGAUUACAUGGAAUACCAAUUGCGAAGGCAGGUUACUACCAAUUGAUUGACGCUGAUGGACGAAAGCGUGGGUAGCGAACAGGAUUAGAUACCCGAGUAGUCCCUGUCUCUUAUAA
rnacentral:rRNA from 1 species